rnacentral:rRNA from 1 species
CAGUCGAUACUACCCGUCAGUGGGACAUCAUAGAGGGUGACAAUCCCGUCUUUGGUGCUGAUGUUCGAGUCCUUUACGAUGCCUAUCUCAGGAGAGUCGAGUAGUUUGGGAUUUGCUGCUUGAACAUGGGAGGUAGACACCUUCUAAAGCUAAAUAUUGGCAAGAGACCGAUAGUGGACAAGUACCGCAAGGGAAAGAUGAAAUAGCACUCUGUAAAGGGAGUCAAAAGGCGUGAAAUUGUUGCGAGAGAAGCGAUUCAAGUCAGCUUGACUAGGCCCAUGAUGACAUCUGUCCUCUGGACUAGUCUCGCCAGCGGUCUCAUCUUUAUUACGGUUUGACUAAGGUGCGGUAUAUCCUCAACGCACGGCUGGUGGAAUGGCUUGCAAUCGACCCGUCUUGAAACACGGACCAAGGAGUCUAACAUGCAUGCAAGUAUAAGGGUGACAAACCCGUAUGCGCAAUGAAAGUGACUUUCAGUGAUUGUUGUGUGGCUUGACGACCAGACAGGAAAUAUCAUGUCCCUCGGAUGGCCACUGCCCAAGUUCUGUGGUACGAACCCAUGAACAUGGAGACGGAGCAUGCAUGCUAGGACCCGAAAGAUGGUGAAUCUAUGCCUGGACAGAGCGAAGCCAAAGGAAACUCUGGUGGAGGCUCGUAGCGAUUCUGAGCGUGCAAAUCGAUCGUCUGAUCUGG